rnacentral:rRNA from 1 species
AGACGUCUACAUUAGAUACCCGCGUAGUCCCAGCCGUAAACUAUGCGCGUUAGGUGUAUCGGUGACCACGAGUCACCGAGGUGCCGAAGGGAAACCGUGAAACGUGCCGCCUGGGAAGUACGGUCGCAAGGCUGAAACUUAAAGGAAUUGGCGGGGAGCACCACAACGGGUGGAGCCUGCGGUUUAAUUGGACUCAACGCCGGGAAGCUCACCGGAUAAGACAGCGGAAUGAUUGCCGGGCUGAAGACUCUGCAUGGCUAGCUG